AAUACCGCAUAAUGUCGCAAGACCAAAGAGGGGGACCUUCGGGCCUCUUGCCAUCAGAUGUGCCCAGAUGGGAUUAGCUAGUAGGUGGGGUAACGGCUCACCUAGGCGACGAUCCCUAGCUGGUCUGAGAGGAUGACCAGCCACACUGGAACUGAGACACGGUCCAGACUCCUACGGGAGGCAGCAGUGGGGAAUAUUGCACAAUGGGCGCAAGCCUGAUGCAGCCAUGCCGCGUGUAUGAAGAAGGCCUUCGGGUUGUAAAGUACUUUCAGCGGGGAGGAAGGUGUUGUGGUUAAUAACCGCAGCAAUUGACGUUACCCGCAGAAGAAGCACCGGCUAACUCCGUGCCAGCAGCCGCGGUAAUA
rnacentral:rRNA from 1 species